CUGACUUUCUUGACCUUUUAGCUAAGAUCAAGUGUAGCAUCUGUUCUUAUCAGAUGCUUACCAUCCUCUAGUAUCUUACAUGUCCUCUAUCUGAGGACAACAUAUUAAAUGGAAUUUUGAAGCCUGGAGUUGGAAUAGGAGCUUGCUCCAUUCACUCUGCUCAUCAACCUGGUAUUGCAGUAUCUUCAGGAAUGGUGCAGCCCAU
rnacentral:snRNA from 1 species